rnacentral:rRNA from 1 species
UAGGGAAUAUUGCACAAUGGGCGAAAGCCUGAUGCAGCAACGCCGCGUGCACGAUGAAGGCCUUCGGGUCGUAAAGUGCUUUUCGGGGAGAUGAGAAAGGACAGUAUCCCCGGAAUAAGGAUCGGCUAACUACGUGCCAGCAGCCGCGGUAAAACGUAGGAUCCGAGCGUUAUCCGAAUUUACUGGGCGUAAAGCGCGUGUAGGCGGUUCGGUAAGUUGGAUGUGAAAUCUCCUGGCUCAACUGGGAGAGGUCGUUCAAUACUGUCGGACUAGAGGGUGGUAGAGGGAGGUGGAAUUCCCGGUGUAGUGGUGAAAUGCGUAGAUAUCGGGAGGAACACCAGUGGCGAAAGCGGCCUCCUAGACCGCUCCUGACGCUCAGACGCGAAAGCUAGGGGAGCAAACGGGAUUAGAAACCCCGGUAGUCCUAGCUGUAAACGAUGUGAACUUGGCGUUGGUGGGGUAAAAGCCAUCAGUGCCGAAGCUAACGCGAUAAGUUCACGCCUGGGGACUACGGCCG